UCAGCAGCCGCCCUUCUUCGCCAGGUGUGCUGAUUGCAAGUCUCUCUGUGCGGCAGGAGGGGACGUCUCCAAAGGGCAGGCGUCCAGUGGCAGCACCGCAGGCCUGUGGGUGUUCCACCUGCAGAGGCCCCAGAGCAGCCCACGGAGGGCCACGGUGGUAUUAUUCCCAUUUCACAGGGAAGAAGCAAGGUCAGAGCUCUUCCCAGAUGGCUCGCGCCAGGCCCAUGCUGCCCGCCCUUACCCGCUCCUCCCGUCCGGCGCUUGAGAGACGUGGUGUCUGGAAAGUCUGUCCCAUCCCAGCUUCCACAACACCCACUGAGACCCACGCCAACGCGCCCCGCCCACGAGAACCCAGGUCACUCCCGCUUGGUGACUGCGGAAGAACUUUCCGGGUGUCACGUUGGUCCAGUCCCAGGAUCCUCUGCAAAGAUACCAGGCACCAGGAACACUGUUGUAAUAAAUCUUUGCGUAAUUUUAGAGGGUGCAGUCCCACUCUGUUUCAUUCCCACUGCUGAGCCCCUCCUCCCUGCAGCCACGUCUCCCCAUGACUCGGCUGAGCUGUGGCUCUGUGGAAAGCACUCUGUGGCCGCCUCCGGGGUGGGAGGGUGGGAUGCUGUAGUGCUGAGCGAGGUGGGUUCGGGAAGGAGCGAUCACAGGAGCCCGGCUCCAGCACCCUGCAGCGGCACAGCCCUCUCGGGUUCCGGUACCUUCCCCACUGCAGCCGCUUCCACUAGAGCCUUUUACAUGGUCCCACUCCCAUGCCUGCCUUCAUGACGGGGGCUGGGUCCCUGGGCCGUUCCUCCUGGCUGUCCAGUCCCAUUACACGGGGGCCGGCGAGGACGCAGGGAAUGAUGGUGCCCUGCCACUAAUGGGCCAGCCGGUGGGCCCUACAUGCCAUUACAGAUGUCCUUAGAAGAGUAGAAGUGGAAGCUUUGACACCAAAGAGACCACGUGAAGACACAGCAGAGACGGAAGGGGUGCCUGCAGCCACCAGGAGCUGAAAGAGGCA
rnacentral:lncRNA from 1 species